UCCUGGGUAGUGCAGUCGGUUAACACAUUCAGCUGGUAACUGAAAGGUUGGAGGCUCAAGUUCACCCAGAGGUA
rnacentral:tRNA from 1 species